rnacentral:rRNA from 1 species
CGUACACUCCUACGGGAGGCAGCAGUGGGGAAUAUUGCACAAUGGGCGCAAGCCUGAUGCAGCCAUGCCGCGUGUAUGAAGAAGGCCUUCGGGUUGUAAAGUACUUUCAGCGGGGAGGAAGGCGAUAAGGUUAAUAACCUUGUCGAUUGACGUUACCCGCAGAAGAAGCACCGGCUAACUCCGUGCCAGCAGCCGCGGUAAUACGGAGGGUGCAAGCGUUAAUCGGAAUUACUGGGCGUAAAGCGCACGCAGGCGGUCUGUCAAGUCGGAUGUGAAAUCCCCGGGCUCAACCUGGGAACUGCAUUCGAAACUGGCAGGCUAGAGUCUUGUAGAGGGGGGUAGAAUUCCAGGUGUAGCGGUGAAAUGCGUAGAGAUCUGGAGGAAUACCGGUGGCGAAGGCGGCCCCCUGGACAAAGACUGACGCUCAGGUGCGAAAGCGUGGGGAGCAAACAGGAUUAGAAACCCCAGUAGUCCCA